UGGGGAAUAUUGGACAAUGGGCGCAAGCCUGAUCCAGCCAUGCCGCGUGAGUGAUGAAGGCCCUAGGGUUGUAAAGCUAUUUCACCGGUGAAGAUAAUGACGGUAAUCGGAGAAGAAGCCCCGGCUAACUUCGUGCCAGCAGCCGCGGUAAUACGAAGGGGGCGAGCGUUGUUCGGAUUUACUGGGCGUAAAGCGCACGUAGGCGGACUUUUAAGUCAGGGGUGAAAUCCCGGGGCUCAACCCCGGAACUGCCUUUGAUACUGGAAGUCUUGAGUAUGGUCGCGGUGAGUGGAAGUCCGCGUGUAGAGGUGAAAUUCGUAGAUAUUCUGAGGAACACCAGUGGCGAAGGCGGCUCACUGGACCAUUACUGACGCUGAGGUGCGAAAGCGUGGUGAGCAAACAGG
rnacentral:rRNA from 1 species